rnacentral:ncRNA from 1 species
UAAAAGUUUUAUUUUGGCUUAAUAUUUUAGUAUAAUUGUAAAUUACAUGUAAAUUUUAGUAUGAUUAAUAAUAGUUUUUAGAUAGAAUUAUUUAAUAAUUGGUUCGCAGUAAUUAGGAUUAAAAAUUUGAGUAAUCAAGAUUUAGUUAAUAUUUAAAGUACUAACAAAAUUUGUGCCAGCAGUUGCGGUUAAACAAAUAGUGUUAUUAAAAUAUAGAUGGAGAUAAUUAAUAUAAAUUAUUUUGAGUUUAAGGGAGGAUUUAUUAGGUGAAAUUUGUAAGUUUUAAGUGAAUUUAUAAUUAGAUUAUGAGGUUAAGAAAUUCAAUAUAUAGACUAGGAUUAGAUACCCUAUUAUUUUGAGUGUAAAAUUGUAUUUCCGGAUUAGUAGUAGUUAUGUUCUUGAAAAUAAAAAGAUUUGGCGGUAUUUUAGUCCAUUCAGAGGAACUUGUUCUGUGAUUGAUAUUCCACGAUUUAAUAUACUUAUCUUAAAUAGCUUAUAUAUCGCCGUAGAUAGAAUGUUUUAGAAGAAAGUAAAUAUUCAGGAUGUUUAAGUAAACAAUAAAUCAGGUCAAGAUGUAGUUUAUAGAUAAGAAGAAAUGAGUUACAAUAAAAGUAUUUAGACGAAUUAUUAUUUGAAUAAGUAAUAUGAAGGUGGAUUUGAGGGUAAUUUUAUUAAAAUAUAUAAGAUGAUUUAGGCUCUAAAAUAUGUACAUAUCGCCCGUCGCUUUCGCUUUAAGGUGAAAUAAGUCGUAACAAAGUAGGCGUACUGGAAAGUGUGCCUAGAAAGGU